GACGAACGCUGGCGGCGUGCUUAACACAUGCAAGUCGAACGGUAAGGCCCCUUCGGGGGUACACGAGUGGCGAACGGGUGAGUAACACGUGAGCAACCUGCCCUUGACUCUGGGAUAACAGUUGGAAACAGCUGCUAAUACCGGAUACGACCUUCGAUGACAUCACCUGGAGGUGGAAAGAGCUUUAGCGGUCAAGGAUGGGCUCGCGGCCUAGCAGCUUGUUGGUGAGGUAACGGCUCACCAAGGCUUCGACGGGUAGCCGGCCUGAGAGGGCGACCGGCCACACUGGGACUGAGAUACGGCCCAGACUCCUACGGGAGGCAGCAGUGGGGAAUAUUGCACAAUGGGCGCAAGCCUGAUGCAGCAACGCCGCGUGCGGGAUGACGGCCUUCGGGUUGUAAACCGCUUUCAGUUCCGACGAAGCGCAAGUGACGGUAGGAACAGAAGAAGGACCGGCCAACUACGUGCCAGCCGCCGCAGUAA
rnacentral:rRNA from 1 species